UGGGGAAUAUUGGACAAUGGGGGNAACCCUGAUCCAGCCAUGCCGCGUGUGUGAAGAAGGUCUUCGGAUUGUAAAGCACUUUAGGCUGGAAGGAAGGGUUUCUGGUUAAUACCUGGAAAUUUUGACGUUACCAACAGAAUAAGCACCGGCUAACUUCGUGCCAGCAGCCGCGGUAAUACGAAGGGUGCGAGCGUUAAUCGGAAUUACUGGGCGUAAAGCGCGCGUAGGCGGUUUGGUAAGUUGGAAGUGAAAGCCCCGGGCUCAACCUCGGAAUUGCUUUCAAAACUGGCAAGCUAGAGUACGGUAGAGGGCAGUGGAAUUUCCUGUGUAGCGGUGAAAUGCGUAGAUAUAGGAAGGAACACCAGUGGCGAAGGCGACUGCCUGGNCUGAUACUGACGCUCAUGCGCGAAAGCGUGGGAAGCAAACAGGAUUAGAUACCCUGGUAGUCCACGCCCCUAAACGAUGUCAACUAGUUGUUGGGGGCCUUGUGCCUUUAGUAACGCACUUAACGCAUUAAGUUGACCGCCUGGGGAGUCCGGCCCCAAAGGUUA
rnacentral:rRNA from 1 species